ACACAGGCAUAAUAUAUCACUGUUAAUAUUUGAGAAAGUAUUCAUUUUUUGUGUAGAUGCUCACUUCCACUUUAAUACAUUUGCCAGGUUCUUGUGAAAAGUGUUUUAUUUGGCACCAUUCAGCUACAAAUACCCAAUGUACGUUUUGCCGGUGGAAUUGUGACCUCAAUCAACUGCUCAUGACACUGCUAAAUGGCAGAGAAUUUUCUUCUGAGAGAAGCAAAUUGUUUCAAACAUUUUACACUUGCAGGUAGUGAUGAGUGCAACAGUUUUUAUCAGGAUCUCGUCCAACAUCAUAGGUACAACUGGUCACUGUGAUUUCUUAAAUAAGAGGACAUAUUGUAAAGGCGCCUAGGCGGUUACAUAUGUACAUGUGGCUCCAAAUGAUGCUUGACUGUUUUCCUUCACUUUAUACGUAAACCUGGAUUGGUCUUUGAUGCAGUAAUAUAGAGCCAUGUCAUGUUUUAAAUCCCAUCUUCCCACUGUCACAAAGUGCUGAAAUAAAAUGAUUUUGAUUUAAA